rnacentral:rRNA from 1 species
CCCUGGGAAAGUUGCAAAGAACUUUGAAGAGAGAGUUCAAGAGAACGUGAAAUCGCUGAAGUGGAACCGGAGAGAGUUAACAUAACUUGGUAGCUAUAUUCUCUAUAGUCGCUUAGCUGUGGCUUUGGGGGGUGGACGCUACCUGUUGUUGCGCUGACUGCGUUGAUCAUGCUUUCCUAACAAUGUAGUGUUGCCCACAUUGUGGUGUCUUGCUUAUUGGGAGGUUUGUCAUGGUUAACGUCAAGCCUUAGUUUCUAGGGAGUCAGUGUGAAAGUUAACCACCUUUCCGACCCGUCUUGAAACACGGACCGAGGAGUGUAAUUUACACGCGAGUCAAAGGGCUGAGGAAACCUUAUGGCAUAAUGAAAGUAAAGACCGGUUAACCGGUUGACAUGGGAUCCGACUGAACUUCUUCGAAACGGAGCACCAUGGCCCUGUCUUGUCUGCUUGCAGAUGGGCAGCGGUAGAGCGUGUAGGUUGCGACCCGAAAGAUGGUGAACUAUGCUUGAGCAGGACGAAGCCAGAGGAAACUCUGGUGGAAGUCCGUAUCGGUUCUGACGUGCAAAUCGAUCGAUAGACUUGAGUAUAGGGGCGAAAGACUAAUCGAACCGUCUAGUAGCUGUCUCC